rnacentral:rRNA from 1 species
GUGGGUAGUUUGACUGGGGCGGUCUCCUCCUAAAGAGUAACGGAGGAGCACGAAGGUUGGCUAAUCCUGGUCGGACAUCAGGAGGUUAGUGCAAUGGCAUAAGCCAGCUUGACUGCGAGCGUGACGGCGCGAGCAGGUGCGAAAGCAGGUCAUAGUGAUCCGGUGGUUCUGAAUGGAAGGGCCAUCGCUCAACGGAUAAAAGGUACUCCGGGGAUAACAGGCUGAUACCGCCCAAGAGUUCAUAUCGACGGCGGUGUUUGGCACCUCGAUGUCGGCUCAUCACAUCCUGGGGCUGAAGUAGGUCCCAAGGGUAUGGCUGUUCGCCAUUUAAAGUGGUACGCGAGCUGGGUUUAGAACGUCGUGAGACAGUUCGGUCCCUAUCUGCCGUGGGCGCUGGAGAACUGAGGGGGGCUGCUCCUAGUACGAGAGGACCGGAGUGGACGCAUCACUGGUGUUCGGGUUGUCAUGCCAAUGGCACUGCCCGGUAGCUAAAUGCGGAAGAGAUAAGUGCUGAAAGCAUCUAAGCACGAAACUUGCCCCGAGAUGAGUUCUCCCUGAGACUUAGAGUCUCCUGAAGGAACGUUGAAGACGACGACGUUGAUAGGCCGGGUGUGUAAGCGCAGCGAUGCGUUGAGCUAACCGGUACUAAUGAACCGU